CCUCUGCUGGGAGGACCAGGGCAGGGUAGUGCGGACGCCGUAGGUGGCGGGUCUAGGUGGGCUGGACUCCAGAGUGAAGGAUGGUGAAGAAGCAAGAGCCGGGGCAGGGCGGAGGGCGGUGGGACAGAAGCCCGGAGGCGCGGCCAGGACUGAGAUGAAGGCUGCGGGGAGCUCCGCAGAAGCGCUGGGCGGGAAGGACAGGCCGGGCGAGAGCCACACAAGGAAGAUCCGGGGCCCCUGCUGAUGUCACUCGCAGUUGUGAGCGGCCGC
rnacentral:lncRNA from 1 species